UACGUAGGGGGCAAGCGUUGUCCGGAUUUAUUGGGCGUAAAGAGCUCGUAGGUGGUUUGGUAAGUCGGAUGUGAAACCUCCAGGCUCAACCUGGAGACGCCACCUGAUACUGCGGUGACUGGAGUCCGGUAGGGGAGCGUGGAAUUCCUGGUGUAGCGGUGAAAUGCGCAGAUAUCAGGAGGAACACCGGUGGCGAAGGCGGGACUCUGGGCCGAUACUGACGCUGAGGAGCGAAAGCGUGGGGAGCGAACAGG
rnacentral:rRNA from 1 species